CUUAAACCAUUAAAGUUGAAGCACUACAAUGGUUUCUAAUAAUAGUGAAAUAUGUAUUAAACAUUUUAUUCAUUUAUUUAUAUUUUUAACACUUUUUUUAAUCUUAUGUAUGUCUCUUGGUUCUAGUGGAAACAAAUCAAAUCCUAGUGAUACGGGUCCUGUUCAAUAUCCAUACCCAUAAAAUUUGAGUGCAAAGAAAGUUUAUCAACUUCGACUUUAUUCAUUCGAAAAUAAAUUUUAAAUUUUGAUAUGACAGCUGUUUCAAGUGAUCAGAAUAUGUCGACUUUAAUAAAAAAGUAUACUUUAUUGUGAA